rnacentral:pre_miRNA from 15 species
GUGUAUUCUACAGUGCAUGUGUCUCCAGUGUGACUAAGGGACUGGAGAUACAGCCCUGUUGGAAUAAC